AAACACAAAAAUCAGCUGGGCAUGGUGGUGCGUGCCUGUAGUCCCACCUACUCGGGAGGCUGAGGCAGGAGAAUUGCUUGAACCUACGAGGCGGAAGUUGCAGUGAGCCAAGACCAUGCCAUUGCACUCCAGUCUGGGCAACAGAGGGAGGCUUCAUCUCAAAAAAAAAAAAAAAAAAAAAAAAAAAAAAAAAAAAGGAGCCAGUCAGAGUAGAAGCUUCACACAUGGGCACAUGGGUAGCCAUGACAAUAAAUAUAAUCAUUUUAUGGACUUUGCAUAUUAUUUUUUAUUGGGUAUAAGAUAGUGUUUGGUUUUAAUUUAUUUUUUAAAUUUUGUUUUUUUGUUUUUGAGACAGUCUCACUCACUCUGUCGCCCAGGCUCGAGUACAGUGGCACAAUCACAGCUCACUGCUGUGUUGCCCAGGCUGAUCUCAAACUCCUGAGCUCAAGUGAUCCACCUGCCUUGGCCUCCCAAAGUGCUGGGAUUACAGGUGUGAGCCACCGUGUUUGGUUUUAAUUUGAACUCUUAGGUGGAAACAGUUUCCACCUUGUUCCUUUGAGUGACAGCAGCCCUGAUCUUCUAGUGCAGGGGUCUCCAGCCUUGGGCCACCAUACUGGUGAGAGAAGUGAGAGAAGCUUCAUCUGUAUUUACAGCCACUCCCCAUGGCUCACAUUACUGCCUGGCCUCUGCCUCCUUGACUGGAGUGAAGGAGUGACAUGGGAAUGUGAACCCUAUUUGUGAACCGCACAUGUGAGGGAUCUAGGUUGCAUGCUCCUUACAAGAAUCUAAUGCCUGAUGACCUGUCACUGUCUCCCAUCACCCCCAGAUGGGACCAUCUAGUUGCAGGAAAACAAGCUCAGGGCUCCCACUAAUUCUACAUUAUA
rnacentral:lncRNA from 1 species